rnacentral:lncRNA from 1 species
GCCUGUUGGUUGUGAAUAGAAUGUUGAGUUGGGGCUGGUGCAGUGGUGCAGCGGUUAAGUUCACACAUUCCACUUUGGUGGCCCAGGGUUCACUGGUUUGGAUCCCGGGUGUGGACCUAUGCACUGCUUGUCAAGCCAUGCUGUGGCAGACAUCCCACAUAUAAAGUAGAAGAAGAUGGGCAUGGAUGCUAGCUCAGGGCCAGUCUCCCUCAGCAAAAAGAGGAGGAUUGGCAACAGAUGUUAGCUCAGGGCUAAUCUUCCUCAAAAAAAAAAAAAAAAGAAUAUUGAGUUACUAACGAAAGCUCUGAUGUUCCCUCUCUAGCUGACAGUUUCACUCUAGGAAAGGAGAGAAAAAAGGAGAGGCUUGUGACUCUCUGAGGAAGUUUUAUCCUUUCUUUUCUCUACCUUUAACUCAGAGACUCAGAGAAGAUAGGGAAGAGAAGGAUACCAAGAGGAAGAGAAGGUGCUGGAGAAUUCUGAAUUCCUGGGAAAAGCUGACAAAAGGAACACUCCUGUGGUCCUUUGAGAUGGAAAUUGGGAAGCUGCUCAGGGCUUUUGCUCACGCAGGUGAGGGGAGUAUGAUAUAAGCGACAGCAGAAGCCCAGGCUGCAGGUCCCAGCAGCCUGACUCUGCACCCAGGACGGGGACCUGUCGCUCCUGCUCGUCCUGGGGGGUGCUCCACCUGCCUUUUCGAUACUUUGGACUUUGACUUGACAUGCAGUUUUUACUUCACAUUAGAUUGAAUCUUCGUUGGCUGCUAUCCAGUUUGCCAUUUCUACUUCAGCGUCAGAAUGUUUUCAGCUUAAUGCUUUCUGGGCCAGCCUCUUAGGUAUGGACAGAGAUGAGCUGGCUUCGCAUCAACACACACCGGAUAUACUUGAUCCCGUCUGAGCUCUCUUGUUACCUUGUAUUAUUGAGUAAUGGUCACCUUGACUGGAUUAGGACCCUUCCCAAGAUUUCCUGCAAGAACAUGGUCACUUCUGCGGAUGGUAAAUCCUUUCAUUAUGCUGUAUUUGUUUACUAAACGAUAUUGUAUAGCAGUAAUUUAUGUUUAUUUAGAAAAAUAGAUGUUCUAUUUAGACUAUCUUGUUUGUUUUUAUACCCUACAUACUCUACUCUUACAUACUGAUCAGCAAACUUUUUCUGUGAAGAACCAGAUAGCAAACAUUUUCGGCUUUGUGGGCCAUCCAGCCUGUAUCAAAACUACACAAGUCUGCAGCAUAGUAUGAAAUAGCCAUAGGCAGUGAAUAAAUGUGCUUGGUGUGGAUAUGUUUCA